CCCAUGGCUAAAUGAUGAAAUCUGUUGGUAGGGACAUCUGAGUAAACGUGAAAGAAUGCCAACUUUUCUGAUUGCAUGGG
ensembl:snoRNA small nucleolar RNA SNORD74